rnacentral:lncRNA from 1 species
AGGUGGUUGGCGGUGCUCAUGGAGUCGGCGGGGAUCAGAAUCGAUGGUAAGCAAAUCGUUACAAACUGGAUAUUUCCCGUGAAUUGAAGAUUGAAGUCAGUAGUUCCGUGGUUUCAUUUUCAGUUGCCGACGGUGCAGGUGAGGUGUUCGAUAAAAUGCUCUUCCGGCCGAGCGGAGGGGUCGAUGGCGCCUUAGGCGGGGUCAAGCUGCAUCCUGCAUCGAGGUACAUUGCUCUAGGCCGGCCAGGGCCGGUCAUCAAAAUUACCAUUGCCUGUACACUGGGAACCUUCAGCGAGGCCUUCCACCGAACCCGGAUGGCACGGUGUGACCACUGACCUGACCAACAGUGGCCAAAGUUGGGCGCGAGUUUGAGUUUCCACAUAAAACACAAGGUUGUCGCAUCACUGAUUGUGUGCCACACUCGUUUCCCCUUCCUUUCCAAGUCAUAGACUUUUCCUUGCCCAAGAGACACGUUUGAGC